GUCUCGGUAGUCUAAAGGCUUAGGACGCUCGCACGGAAUGCAAGAGAUCCGGGUUCGACUCCCAGCCGAGGCA
rfam:Trachymyrmex septentrionalis contig14781, whole genome shotgun sequence.